GCCCAGACUCCUACGGGAGGCAGCAGUGAGGAAUAUUGGUCAAUGGGCGAGAGCCUGAACCAGCCAAGUCGCGUGAGGGAGUACUGUCCUAUGGGUUGUAAACCUCUUUUGUCGGGGAGCAAAAGCCGGACGUGUCCGGCUGUGAGAGUACCCGAAGAAAAAGCAUCGGCUAACUCCAUGCCAGCAGCCGCGGUAAUACGGAGGAUGCGAGCGUUAUCCGGAUUUAUUGGGUUUAAAGGGUGCGCAGGCGGAUUUUUAAGUCAGCGGUCAAAUCGUGGGGCUCAACCCCAUCCAGCCGUUGAAACUGGGGAUCUAGAGUGUGCGAGAGGUAUGCGGAAUGCGUGGUGUAGCGGUGAAAUGCAUAGAUAUCAGGAGGAACACCGGUGGCGAAGGCGGCCUGCUGGACUGCAACUGACGUUGAGGCCCGAAAGCGUGGGGAGCAAACAGGAUUAGAUACCCUGGUAAG
rnacentral:rRNA from 1 species